GCGAGAGUGGCGGAAUUGGCAGACGCACUGGACUUAGGAUCCAGCGGGUGAAACCGUAGGAGUUCAAAUCUCCUCUCUCGCACCA
rnacentral:tRNA from 1 species